UACGUAGGGCGCAAGCGUUGUCCGGAAUUAUUGGGCGUAAAGAGCUCGUAGGCGGUCUGUCGCGUCGGCUGUGAAAACCCGAGGCUCAACCUCGGGCCUGCAGUCGAUACGGGCAGACUAGAGUGCUGUAGGGGAGACUGGAAUUCCUGGUGUAGCGGUGAAAUGCGCAGAUAUCAGGAGGAACACCGAUGGCGAAGGCAGGUCACUGGGCCGCAACUGACGCUGAGGAGCGAAAGCAUGGGGAGCGAACAGG
rnacentral:rRNA from 1 species